rnacentral:rRNA from 1 species
UACGUAGGGUGCGAGCGUUAAUCGGAAUUACUGGGCGUAAAGCGUGCGCAGGCGGUUCGUUAAGUUCGUCGUGAAAGCCCCGGGCUCAACCUGGGAAUGGCGAUGGAAACUGGCGGGCUGGAGUGCGGCAGAGGGGGGUGGAAUUCCACGUGUAGCAGUGAAAUGCGUAGAGAUGUGGAGGAACACCGAUGGCGAAGGCAGCCCCCUGGGCCGACACUGACGCUCAGGCACGAAAGUGUGGGGAUCAAACAGG